rnacentral:rRNA from 1 species
UUCGCAAUGCCCGAAAGGGUGACGAAGCGACGCCGCGUGCGGGAAGAAGGCCUUCGGGUUGUAAACCGCUGUCGGGAGUUAAGAAAUGCAAGGAUGUUGAUAGCAUCUUUGCUUGACUAAGGCUCCGGAGGAAGCCACGGCUAACUCUGUGCCAGCAGCCGCGGUAAUACAGAGGCGGCAAGCGUUGUUCGGAAUUAUUGGGCGUAAAGAGCACGUAGGCGGCCGUGUAAGUCGGUUGUGAAAGCCUCCCGCUCAACGGGAGAACGGCAUCCGAUACUGGAUGGCUUGAGUGCGGGAGGGGAGAGUGGAACUUCUGGUGGAGCGGUGAAAUGCGUAGAUAUCAGAAGGAACCCCGGCGGCGAAGGCGACUCUCUGGCCCGUAACUGACGCUGAGUGCGCGAAAGCUAGGGGAGCAAACGGGAUUAGAUACCCCGGUAGUCCUAGCCGUAAACGAUGGGCACUAAGUAGAGGGGUUUU